GUUAGCGGCGGACGGGUGAGUAACACGUGGGUACCUGCCCAUAAGACUGGGAUAACUCCGGGAAACCGGGGCUAAUACCGGAUAACAUUUUGAACCGCAUGGUUCGAAAUUGAAAGGCGGCUUCGGCUGUCACUUAUGGAUGGACCCGCGUCGCAUUAGCUAGUUGGUGAGGUAACGGUCACCAAGGCAACGAUGCGUAGCCGACCUGAGAGGGUGAUCGGCACACUGGGGCUGAGACACGGGCCCAGACUCCUACGGGAGGCAGCAGUAGGGAAUCUUCCGCAAUGGACGAAAGUCUGAUGGAGCAACGCCGCGUGAGUGAUGAAGGCUUUCGGGUUGUAAAGUACUUUCAGUCGGGAGGAAGGUGGUAAGGUUAAUAACCUUAUCAAUUGACGUUACCGACAGAAGAAGCACCGGCUAACUCCGUGCCAGCAGCCGCGGUAAUACGGAGGGUGCCAGCGUUAAUCGGAAUUACUGGGCGUAAAGCCGCACGCAGGCGGGUGGAUGAGUCAGAUGGUGGAAAUCCCGGGCUUAACCCGGGGCAAUUGCCUUCUGCAUUCACUGGGUCCAGCUUNGAGUCUCGGUCAAAAGGGGGGGUAA
rnacentral:rRNA from 1 species